UACGUAGGGGCAAGCGUUGUCCGGAUUUAUUGGGCGUAAAGAGCGUGUAGGCGGUUAGGUAGGUCCGUUGUGAAAACUCGAGGCUCAACCUCGAGACGCCGAUGGAAACCAUCUGACUAGAGUCCGGAAGAGGAGAGUGGAAUUCCUGGUGUAGCGGUGAAAUGCGCAGAUAUCAGGAAGAACACCCGUGGCGAAGGCGGUUCUCUGGGCCUGUACUGACGCUGAGGAGCGAAAGCGUGGGGAGCAAACAGG
rnacentral:rRNA from 1 species